AUAUGGGGGGACCAUCCUCCAAGGCUAAAUACUCCUGACUGACCGAUAGUGAACCAGUACCGUGAGGGAAAGGCGAAAAGAACCCCGGCGAGGGGAGUGAAAAAGAACCUGAAACCGUGUACGUACAAGCAGUGGGAGCCUCUUAAUGGGGUGACUGCGUACCUUUUGUAUAAUGGGUCAGCGACUUAUAUUCUGUAGCAAGGUUAACCGAAUAGGGGAGCCGAAGGGAAACCGAGUCUUAACUGGGCGUUAAGUUGCAGGGUAUAGACCCGAAACCCGGUGAUCUAGCCAUGGGCAGGUUGAAGGUUGGGUAACACUAACUGGAGGACCGAACCGACUAAUGUUGAAAAAUUAGCGGAUGACUUGUGGCUGGGGGUGAAAGGCCAAUCAAACCGGGAGAUAGCUGGUUCUCCCCGAAAGCUAUUUAGGUAGCGCCUCGUGAAUUCAUCUCCGGGGGUAGAGCACUGUUUCGGCAAGGGGGUCAUCCCGACUUACCAACCCGAUGCAAACUGCGAAUACCGGAGAAUGUUAUCACGGGAGACACACGGCGGGUGCUAACGUCCGUCGUGAAGAGGGAAACAACCCAGACCGCCAGCUAAGGUCCCAAAGUCAUGGUUAAGUGGGAAACGAUGUGGGAAGGCCCAGACAGCCAGGAUGUUGGCUUAGAAGCAGCCAUCAUUUAAAGAAAGCGUAAUAGCUCACUGGUCGAGUCGGCCUGCGCGGAAGAUGUAACGGGGCUAAACCAUG
rnacentral:rRNA from 1 species